rnacentral:tRNA from 1 species
GGGAAGGUGGCAGAGCGGUUUAAUGCACCGGUUUUGAAAACCGACGUAGGUGACUACCGGGGGUUCGAAUCCCUCCCUUUCCG